GCCUGGGUGGCUCAGCAGUUGAGCAUCUGCCUUCAGCUCAGGAUGUGAUCCCGGAGUCCUGGGAUCGAGUCCCAUAUCAGGCU
rnacentral:tRNA from 1 species